UUGAGUGGGGCGGUACAUACUGUCAGAGAGUAACGCAGGUGUCCCAAGGUGAGCUCAGGGAGGUCGAAUACCUCGCGUAGAGCAAAAGGGCCAAAGCUCGCUUGAGUUUGAUUUCCAGUAUGAACACAGACCGCGAAAGCGUGGCCUAUUGAUCCUUUUGAACUUCCGAGUUUCAAGCAAAAG
rnacentral:ncRNA from 1 species